CAAAUUUUAGGUUCAUCCUCUUGAGCAGGGGGAAGGAGCCUCUCUCUUCAGAAGCAUGUCAGGAUAUCUUUGGUAGGCAUCAUGUUCUGUUUACUUGAACCAGUGAGAAGAUGGCCGAGCAAGCAAGGAUAAGUGUACGUGUCUAUAAAGGUUUCUUCUAAUCCUGCGAGUCUGUAAGCAUUCUAGGGUUCAUCGGAAACUGUCUACUCCCAUUUCUGGAAUUUGCCUCUUGGCAUCAUCAUGCAGGGGGCUUUUUCUAGUCAUGCUUUGUGGUGGAAAGGUCAGCUGAGCACGGAGGAACAGGGGACUCACUGCUUUUCUCCCCUUUGGGCCCUUGAGCAGGCAUUUGACUGCUGCAUAUGAACCUGGGAGCCAUGGGGUCUUAAGGCUUUCUACUUGAUUCUCAGUGUGGCCAGAAUUCUGUUUAGGGCACUGCUCCAAAUCUCGGUGACACUCCAUCUGUAAAAUUGGGUGGCAGUGUAGUGUGUGUGUGUGUGUGUGUGUAUUUUCUUAUACAGGACUGGAAGAGAAUGGAGGAAGAAGGAUAAUGACUUAAAAGCGAAAACAAUUGAAUUCUUUGAGCUACAGUGCUGUGUCCUGAGAGUGCAGUUAUUUUCCACUGCAGUAAUGCUUUCAAAAACAUUUAUCUAGCUUCUCUCACUUUCUCAUUUGCUGUCAUUGGUGUGAAAAAUCGAGUUACCAGAAGGUUCACCCAUGUUCCACAGAGGUUCAGAAAUCAGCAUGGAAAGGAGCUUUAGAGAUUAGGAGCUCAAUGCUCUCAUUUUAUAAAUGCGAGGAUGGUGCAGCUGGUGAUGUUUUAAUGAAGCUGGAAUUGUAUAGUCUGUAGCGCUGGAUAAUCAUAAGCUGCCGAGUCAGAAUCAAAUUAAUAAUUCAUGAAAUUAAAGUGUAUAAUUAAUUUGAACUGUGCAGAUGAGAAGAAGGGCCAGAGCCCACAGCCUGGAAGGAGCUGAAGUGUGGGGAGUGUUUACUGAACUCAGCUUCUAUUUCCAAAUAAUAUAAUCUGCAUGCAGGUUAGGGGUAGUCUGUGGGUCUACCUGAACACGUAUGCUUACCAGAAACAAGGUUCUUUCAACUAAAACCUGGAAUGACUUUCUUAGAAGUUCAAAAGCAUUUUAAUUGAUUUUGAUUUACCCUUCCCUGGCCCCAAAAGAAUGUUGUUUGAACAGAAAAUGUGAUACUGGGUUACAAGUCUUUGUUGCAUGGAGGUCCUGCAGAACGUGCCAUCAGAACCGUUGCUUCUGCAGUUCAAAAGGUCGUAAGUCAAAUCCAAACAUUCAGGAACUCUACUGAGCUUCCAGGCCCAUGGAUUUCUCACCCGUAAGUGCUCUUUCUCUUUCUCCCUCUCUCAUAUAUGUAUGUCAUACAAACAGAAAAUACAAAUGACUUCUCUAGCCAGGCUUCCCUUGGCCACUCUUUUGGCUUCCCUGGGCCACAAUGGAAGAAGAUGAAUUGUCUUGUGCCACAUAUAAAAAUACACUAACACUAACAAUAGCUGAUGAG
rnacentral:lncRNA from 1 species